CCUACGGGUGGCUGCAGUGGGGGAUAUUGCACAAUGGGGGGAACCCUGAUGCAGCGACGCCGCGUGGGUGAAGGAGCGUUUCGGCGCGUCAAGCCCUAUCGGCAGGGAAGAAGGAGGACGGUACCUGACUAAGAAGCCCCGGCUAACUACGUGCCAGAAGCCGGGGUAAUACGUCGGGGGCAAGCGUUAUCCGGAUUUACUGGGUGUAAAGGGUGCGCAGCAGGCAGCGCAAGACAGGAGUGAAAGCCCGGGGCACAACCCCGGGACUGCUUAUGGAACGGCGCGGCUGGAGUGCAGGAGGGGCAGGCGGAAUUCCGGGUGUAGCGGUGAAAUGCGUAGAUAUCAGGAGGAACACCGGGGGCGAAGGCGGCCUGCUGGACUGCGACUGACGUUGAGGCCCGAAAGCGUGGGGAGCAAACAGGAUUAGAUACCCUUGUAGUC
rnacentral:rRNA from 1 species